CUUGAACUGUCAGAUAUCUAUCGAUAAUGUCAUGUCAUUUGUUCGCAUUCCGCAUUACCAGCAUUCCAUCAACUUUAAGAUUGGAAGCACACCAAAUGAACUCUUUAAAAGCCUUUAAAUUAUCACUAUUUUUUCAAAUGUCUCAUUAUGUUUUUGCUAAUGCUUAUCUACAUUAUGUGGACUAACAAAUUUGUAAACUGUGGUUUCAAAUCCACAUGUUCUGUUGACAUGUUUGUUUGUCUGUACCUGUUAAAUUGAGUUUUCUAAAUGUGGCCUAAAAUUUAAAUGAAUCUUGAAGUCCCUAAUUAUUUGUAACCAGACAUAUUUAAUGACGAUGCAUUUAUACAGUAAAUGAUUGUGCAGUUUUUAGGCUUUCGUUUGGCCUUUGCAAAUUGCAAUUAUUGUUUUUUAGGACUGCAGGUGAUGCGUUAGCUUAGGAUCUUGCAUUCAUGAGUCUAUUUUGCAUGGUAAGGUGUUGACGUUUGCUAGUGAGGGCGUCUCUGCAAUGCUUGCUGAUUUUGUCAAAAAUAAAUAAAUAAAAAUAAAUGGGACACCCAGUGUUUUUAAAACGUGAUGAAGGUCUGAACUUCAAUCGUAAUUGAUGGGUACAUGCCUAAGACUUACCAAGGCUUGUAAAUAGCCAUUGGUCUCUGUCUUUGCUUCAAAAUAGAAGUAGGAGUUUCCAAAGGACUGGAGGUUGAAGAGAGCAUACGGUCAUGGUUAUCUGUUAUGACUCAGGAGCUUUGUCUUCUGUUUUUCCAAAGAAGAACGUUCACGUAGUUUCAUUCUACAUUGCAUGAACUAUAAACGGAGCUACCCUUAACAGCUUGUGUGCUAUUGAACAUGAAUAUCAGAAAUCCAGUGCUAGUCUCAAGUCCUCGUUGCCAAUUCCGAUUGAUAAUUGGGGAACUUCACGAAUUCAAGCCAACAUGAGACAAUUGUCUGCGGCUCAUCCUACAUACAUGUGAAUAUAUUUGCACAAAAAAACACACUUGCUAGUUCAAUUCUAAGUUUAUCUAGCUUAACAGCAUUUUAAUGUGUA